ACCGUCAAUGUGUGUAAAUUCGAAAAUGGCAGAUUUUCCAGGAUUAAACUAUCCAUUCGUGAACUUUCAAUCGUUACAAUUUCAAUUGACGAAUUAGUUCCAGCGCAGAGGACAUUGGAAUCUUGGACUAAAAUCUUCGUCAACAACAGCGCCACUUCUUCUGUCUCAAGCCCUAAUUUCUAGAAUAACACCACUUCUGGUGGCGACGAAGUCUAGCACAGUCUGAUCCACUUUGUCAAAAGAAGCAAUCAGUGACAUGGGCCCCGGAUGUGUAUGAUCUAGCUCCAACAGAGUUGUCACAUGCAUUAUCAGACAAGAGUCAGAGCCAUCAAAGCAAUAGGAAGAAGUUUGGGAAAAACAAGCAGAAAUGAAGAUGGUUUUGGUGGUGGAUUCCUGCCCUAUGGUAGUGCUUCCCACUGUUUAUUGUGCCAUUUGGUGAAGGCUGAUGGUUGGGUAGGUAUAUCUGCCAAUUCCGAGUCCUGUGGAUUGGGGGUGCCAAAGGAAGAUGUCGCAUGAGAUCACACAUGGAUAACUGUGAUGGAUUGUAAGGUUCACACUGGGCGCUUGACAGAGUUUUGAGGCUUUUCUUGCAAUAGGAAUUGUCUACAGAUGAGAAUAUAUUCAAACCAUCUGAUGUUGAACAGGCUUUGUGGAGUUCUUCCAUAGCUGCCAAAUUCAAAAUAUUAUCUACUAAUUUAUAUGACGUUCAGUUGGACAAAAGGUCUGCAGGAUAGAGCAAACGGUAAUAGAGCUCCGGUUUGUUGUCAACUCUGGUUACUCACUAUAUAUUAUCAAUUUUUUUCCUUUCUAUUUGUAGGCUCCCUACUAAGCAUCUUUAUGUAUCCAAAUUAAAUGUUAAACUUGUUUAUUUUGUUCUCAUAUAAUUUCUGAUCAUUUGCCAUAUUUUACUACGACCAGAAAAUGAUUAUUUGUUGUUGGUAAAAGUGUCAUGAACUCCUUAGAUCAAUCUAAUGGCUUACAGAUACCACAAGGAGCAAGGCUAGUAACUUGCUCUGUGUUUGCUUAAGAUA